UUCCUACUUUAGAAGGAUAUGUAUUAAAACUGUAAUGAUAUAGAGAAUAUUAGCUUGUUCCCUGUACAAAGAUGACAAACGAAUUCACAAUACAUUCCAUAUUUUC